UACGAAGGGGGCUAGCGUUGCUCGGAAUCACUGGGCGUAAAGGGUGCGUAGGCGGGUCUGUAAGUCAGGGGUGAAAUCCUGGAGCUCAACUCCAGAACUGCCUUUGAUACUGAAGAUCUUGAGUUCGGGAGAGGUGAGUGGAACUGCGAGUGUAGAGGUGAAAUUCGUAGAUAUUCGCAAGAACACCAGUGGCGAAGGCGGCUCACUGGCCCGAUACUGACGCUGAGGCACGAAAGCGUGGGGAGCAAACAGG
rnacentral:rRNA from 1 species